rnacentral:lncRNA from 1 species
GUUGCAUAUGAACAGGAACAGUAUCAUGAUGACACUAGCAUGAUACGUUGUGGAGAGCCAUCCCUUAUGCUUCAGAACACGGAUUCAACUCUGCUUGCAGCUGGGCCAGCCACCCACCUGGGACCCUUGCAGACAAGUGGGAUUGGACAAGAGCCAUUGUUUUGAUCUAUUGGUUGACCCUGGCACCUCUGGUUCCCUUUGCAGAACUGCAAUCCAGUAUUUUCUUCAGGUGAGUCCCAUCUUCCUUGAACCACCGGGGUAACUGGGGGAUGCAAUUUCCACAGCAAUAGCAGAGGCAAGCCCCACCAUGCACACACAUUCCAAACCCUUGCCGAUAGUACAUCUGCUUGUAACCAAUUGCUCAAAGCAAAUCACAUAGCCAAGCUCCAAUUUCAUGCCACCUUUGUCAAGAGAAACUGCAGGAGAACAUGGAAAAAAGCAUGGAAGCUGAGAGGGCUUAAGAAUUUGAGACAGUAGUGCAC